AUGGAGGAUGGGAAGAACACAGUGGAGCUCAUUUGCCACAAGAUCAAGGCCAGGGGGAGCCAGGAGCUCAAGACUCAGAGAAGAAGGAGACGGGGCCAGGCCAGGUUUCUGGCUGGGUCUGUGGAGGUUGACAGCACCAAAGCACCAUCAGUCUAUCACCUGACACCCAAAUCCAGAGAUGCAUCUGACUCCCCGGUGACAUUGGGCUACAUGGUCAAGGACUUCUUUCUAGAGCUGGUGGCAGUGUCCUGGCCCUCUGUCCCCCAGGCUGAUGUGCACACCUUUACACCCAUGCUGUGGUUGUCUGGCCUCUACUCCCUUAUCAGCAUGGUCACCAUGCCCUCUAGCAGCUGGCCCAGCCAGGUUUAUGCCUGCAGUGUCACCCACAUGCCCAGUGAGACCAAGGUGGACAAGAAGAUCGGUGAGCCUUGGGCAAGGUGCAGAUGCCCAUCGGCUCCUGAAAAUCUGGGAGGACCCUCCGUCUUCAUCUUCCCACCCAAGCCCAUGGACACCCUCAUGAUGUCCCGAAAUCCAGAGGUGACAUGUCUGGUGUUGGACGUGGCCCAGGACGACCAUGAAGUCCAGUUCAGCUGGUUUGUGGAUGGCACGGAGGUCCACACAGCCAAGGACAGGCCACAGGAGGAGCAGUACAACGGCACCUCCCGUGUGGCCAGCGUGAUCCCCAUCCUGCACCAGGACUGGCUCUGGGGCAAGGAGUUCAAGUGCAUUGUCAACAAUGGGGCUCUUCUUGUCCCUGCUGUAAGGACCUUCUACAAUGCCAAGGGACAGCCUCGGGCCCCUCAAGUGUACAACAUGGCCCCAGUCAGCGAUAAGUGGACCAAGAACAGGCCAACCUUGUCUGCUCUGUGAAGGGAUUCUACUCCUCUGACAUUCUUGUGGAGUGGAUGAGCAACGAGCAGCCUGUGCACCAGGCCAACUAUGUGAACACGCCUGUCCAGGCAGAUUCCGAUGGGACCUUCUUCUUGUACAGUAAACUGAGAGUGUCCAAUAAGAUCAGGGGCCAAGGACCACCUUACCACUACAUAGUGAUGCACGAGGCCCUGCACAACCACUACACCCAGAAGGUGGUCGCUCUGACCCAGGAUGAGAGUUGCGCAGCCGCCCAGGAGGGUGAGCUGGAAGGGCUGUGGACCAUCACCAUCUUCAUCACCCUCUUCCUGCUCAGCGUAUGUUACAGCGCCACAGUCACCCUCUUCAAGAUGAACUGGAUCUUCUCCUCCGUAGGGAACUGA